rnacentral:lncRNA from 1 species
AAAGUUACGGGUGGUACAAGCACAAAAGAAAUUUUUUAUGCCAACCAGUGCAGUAUUGAAACUACAACACCAAAAAUAGAUAACAUUGAGAGACUAUCAAUGAUAUUCGAAAGUAUUCCAGAUUCAUGUUUGAGUAUUACAUUAAGUCAUGAUCGAAGUUAGUUAUUCGUACAAGAAAAAUAUAUUUGGUUACGUACAAGAAAA